UGGGGAAUUUUACACAAUGGGGGAAACCCUGAUGUAGCAACGCCGCGUGGAGGAUGACGGAUCUAGGUCUGUAAACUCCUUUUAUAAGGGAAGAAAUUUGACGGUACCUUAUGAAUAAGCACCGGCUAACUCCGUGCCAGCAGCCGCGGUAAUACGGGGGGUGCAAGCGUUACUCGGAAUCACUGGGCGUAAAGGGAGCGUAGGCGUUUUAUUAAGUCUUGAGUGAAAGCUCGCAACUCAACUGCGGAACUGCUCAGGAAACUGAUAGAAUUGAGUAUGGAAGAGGUAGGUGGAAUUUCCGGUGUAGGGGUAAAAUCCGUAGAUAUCGGAAGGAAUACCAGAAGCGAAGGCGACCUACUGGGACAUUACUGACGCUGAGGCUCGAAAGCGUGGGGAGCAAACA
rnacentral:rRNA from 1 species